UUGCGAAAAUUGCAAAAUGGUAAAGGACUUUUCUGUUCAGUUUAAUGCGCUCUACCUGUUUAUAAAGAUUCCAUAAAUCUUUACUAAACACCCUGUAUAUAUAUAUAUAUAUAUACAUAUAGUUGAUUCAUAAAUAAGUUCUGUUGCAAACACAUCGAUCAAUUUAUUAUCUCUUUUUAGAAUUCCAAGUUACUAAAUGUAUCUAAUAACUUUUAUAUUUAUUUGAUAAUAAAAGGUCCCUCAGUUGCAGAUCAGUAUGUACUAUGACUACGUAUUUACAUGCCUCUUUUAAUCCAUAUAACAUUUUAACUAUCAGUAUGCAUAUAUAAACUAGUUAAAUCCAGUUUUAUAACAUCUGUUAUUAUUUUACACUUGUUGAUGAAAAGAUGUAGACUUAUAAAUCCUGUUUUAAAGAACGGUAUAAAUGCCAAGAGAGUUGUUACAGUUGCAUUAUAAACAUCAUUAUAAAAUAAAAAAAUUAUGAAAAGUAUAACAUCGUAUAUUUAGUUUACUUAGAAGUUAUAAUCACGAUUGGUAUUCAUAAUUGAAUUUUAUUCAAGAUUGUUUCAAGCAAUAUUUUAAAAUGAUAAUAUGGUUCUGUAAUUGAUUGACAUCUUAAGACAGUACUAAAAAUGAUCUUAAAUAUAAGAUUCGAAUACUUGUGACUAUGAACAUUAUCUAACGAAAUGAUGAAAGUUAACUUUUAAAGCAAAAGAUUUGAAAGUAUAUAUGUGCUACAUAAUAUUUUGAGAAACAAGGGAGUAUGCUGUUAUAACGGCUUAAAAAAUUUAUAAAUGAGUGUCAUAACAAAUUAGUGCAAAAGUUAUUUAUAAAGUUUCUUUCGGAAGUUAGCAUUUUGAAAGAUGAAUCAUGAAGCGAUCUCAAGUUGUUAUAUUGAUCUCAAUGACAUUUUAAAGUUAUUGUUGAAACAAAAUUUAUAUUACAGAAUAAGAAAAUUAGCAGAGAUGCUGAACAUAUCGCAGCUUAUUGCGUUCCGUCUUAUAAGAAAAUUUGAUUUAAAAAAAACAGAAGUUAUUUGCGAACCAAUCCAAUAUGUAUAUGUUACGGUCAAACCCCGCGCGGCGUUCCUAGCAUUGACUGGUCAAUGCGCGGAAUAACCAAACGUUUUGGUCAAAGUCCGAAAUAGUUUUGUAUUUCGGCUUUUGAUCGACAUGUUUUUAGUCCAUCCUAGGAGUGACGUAACAUGGCUGGUCAAAGUUAGAAACUGAAAAAAUUACUUCGGAUUUUGACCAAAACGCUUAGUUGUUCCGCGCAUUGACCAGUCAAUUCUAGGUAUGAUUACAAUAACGCCGUCUAAGUCCGCUAUGCGCCUUGCGCGUGUUCUAAUCUGUCUGCUAUCCGUGAACGAUUCACAACACGAAUGCGUUGCAAGUUAUUACGCGUCCAGCAACAGUUAUGUGGAAAGUCGCAAACCCAUGUGGAGCAGAGAAUGCUUCGCGCGCUCGCUCACACACACACACACACACGAGGGGGUACAAGAGGGGGGCCUUCGGCCUUCCUUCCGCACCCAUCCCAUCCAAGUCCACUAACCCAUGUUGUACAUUGCAAACAAAGUAAAGUUCAUGUGUGUUUGCGGAUUUCCAAUACAACGUACAUUGGCUAGCGACUUGGACGGGGUGCGGGAGAGAAACCGAAGACCCUCCUUACACCCCCCCCCCCUCUGUGUGUGUGUGUGUGUGCGUGUGCGCGCGCGCGCGCGCGCGUGUGCAAAGCAAUCUGUGCACCACAUGAGUUUGAGACUUUCCACGCAAAACGAGAUACAUCCUAGGAGUGACUAACAUGGCUGGCCAAAGUUACCAAAGAUUUAUCUACUUUAUAUUUCAAAUUACACAACUACAAGGGUGUUAACAGAAGGAUAACCACCAGAACCAGCAUCCACUUUUCGCACGACAGUCAAUCUGGGGUGUAGAUUACAUAAACCUCCUGGAGGCAGAGCCGAACAACCAGUGGCAAACUGCAGGAACGCUUUCCUUUCAGAGCCAGUCAAUGAUAACAAUACGUUGACAAAUCUUUGGAAACCAGGACUGAAAAAAAUUGUAUCAAAUGAAAUAAUGUGUUACUUGUGCAAAUGUAUUGCAUUCAGUUCACGUUUUUGUGGCUGGGUUGCAUAUAUGCGCUUAUAUAAUAAGUUUAUAAACAAAAUAAUUUUACAGAAA